CCUGUAUUGUGUAGGGGCAUAUAUGUUGAUGACAUGUUAUUGAUGUUACUCAUACUGAUGUUCCUUAAGAUGCAUAUCACUUGUAUGUUAAUACAUUAUUAUUUCAAACUGAUUAUACUUAUGUCUU